UACGUAGGGCGCAAGCGUUGUCCGGAAUUAUUGGGCGUAAAGAGCUCGUAGGCGGCUUGUCACGUCGGUUGUGAAAGCCCGGGGCUUAACCCCGGGUCUGCAGUCGAUACGGGCAGGCUAGAGUUCGGUAGGGGAGAUCGGAAUUCCUGGUGUAGCGGUGAAAUGCGCAGAUAUCAGGAGGAACACCGGUGGCGAAGGCGGAUCUCUGGGCCGAUACUGACGCUGAGGAGCGAAAGCGUGGGGAGCAAACAGG
rnacentral:rRNA from 1 species